UCCGGUGAUUAUAGCGUGAGGGAACCACCUUUUACCAUUCCGAACAGAGAAGUUAAGCCUCACUGCGCCGAUGGUACUGCCCCAAGUGGGUGGGAGAGUAGGACGUUGCCGGAU
rfam:Bacteroidetes bacterium OLB8 TZ08_BCD00100CONTIG0000031, whole genome shotgun sequence.